rnacentral:rRNA from 1 species
GUGGCAGCCGCCGCGGUAAUACGUAGGGUGCGAGCGUUAAUCGGAAUUACUGGGCGUAAAGCGUGCGCAGGUGGUUUUGUAAGUCAGAUGUGAAAUCCCCGGGCUUAACCUGGGAACUGCGUUUGAAACUGCAAGGCUAGAGUGUGGCAGAGGGGGGUGGAAUUCCGCGUGUAGCAGUGAAAUGCGUAGAUAUGUGGAGGAACACCGAUGGCGAAGGCAGCCCCCUGGGUCAGCACUGACGCUCAGGCACGAAAGCAUGGGGAGCAAACAGGAUUAGAUACCCUGGUAGUCCAUGCCCUAAACGAUGUCAACUAGUUGUCGGGUCUUAACGGGCUUGGUAACGUAGCUAACGCGUGAAGUUGACCGCCUGGGGAGUACGAUCGCAGGAUUAAAACUCAAAGGAAUUGACGGGGACCCGCACAAGCGGUGGAUUAUGUGGAUUAAUUCGAUGCGACGCGAAAAACCUUACCUACCCUUGACAUGUAUCGAAGCCCGCAGAGAUGUGGGUGUGCCCGAAAGGGAACGAUAACACAGGUGCUGCAUGGCUGUCGUCAGCUCGUGUCGUGAGAUGUUGGGUUAAGUCCCGCAACGAGCGCAACCCUUAUCAUUAAUUGCCAUCAUUUAGUUGGGCACUUUAAUGAGACUGCCGGUGACAAACCGGAGGAAGGUGGGGAUGACGUCAAGUCCUCAUGGCCCUUAUGGGUAGGGCUUCACACGUAAUACAAUGGCGCGUACAGAGGGUUGCCAACCCGCGAGGGGGAGCCAAUCUCAGAAAGCGUGUCGUAGUCCGGAUCGGAGUCUGCAACUCGACUCCGUGAAGUCGGAAUCGCUAGUAAUCGCGGAUCAGCAUGUCGCGGUGAAUACGUUCCCGGGUCUUGCACACACCGCCCGUC